rnacentral:tRNA from 1 species
GAGACCAUAGCUCAGUCGGUAGAGCAUCUCACUUUUAAUGAGAGGGUCGAUGGUUCGAACCCAUCUGGUCUCACCA